rnacentral:rRNA from 1 species
UACGUAGGCAGCAAGCGUUGUUCGGAGUUACUGGGCGUAAAGAGUGUGUAGGCGGUUAGGUAAGAUCGGUGUGAAAUCUCCCGGCUUAACUGGGAGGGUGCGCCGAUGACUGCCUGGCUUGAGUGCGGGAGAGGAAAGCGGAAUUCCUGGUGUAGCGGUGAAAUGCGUAGAUAUCAGGAGGAACAUCUGCGGUGUAGACGGCUUUCUGGACCGUAACUGACGCUGAGACACGAAAGCGUGGGUAGCAAACAGG